rnacentral:rRNA from 1 species
GAUGAACGCUGGCGGCGUGCCUAAUACAUGCAAGUUGAGCGAACGGACGAGAAGCUUGCUUCUCUGAUGUUAGCGGCGGACGGGUGAGUAACACGUGGAUAACCUACCUAUAAGACUGGGAUAACUUCGGGAAACCGGAGCUAAUACCGGAUGAUAUUUUGAACCGCAUGGUUCAAAAGUGAAAGACGGUCUUGCUGUCACUUAUAGAUGGAUCCGCGCUGCAUUAGCUAGUUGGUAAGGUAACGGCUUACCAAGGCAACGAUGCAUAGCCGGCCUGAGAGGGUGAUCGGCCACACUGGAACUGAGACACGGUCCAGACUCCUACGGGAGGCAGCAGUAGGGAAUCUUCCGCAAUGGGCGAAAGCCUGACGGAGCAACGCCGCGUGAGUGAUGAAGGUCUUCGGAUCGUAAAACUCUGUUAUUAGGGAAGAACAGAUGUGUAAGUAACUGUGCACAUCUUGACGGUACCUAAUCAGAAAGCCACGGCUAACUACGUG